GGUAAAGCGAAUGAUUAGAGGCCUUGGGGUUGAAACAACCUUAACCUAUUCUCAAACUUUAAAUAUGUAAGAAGUCCUUGUUACUUAGUUGAACGUGGACAGUCGAAUGUAUCGUUACUAGUGGGCCAUUUUUGGUAAGCAGAACUGGCGAUGCGGGAUGAACCGAAAGUCAUGUUAAGGUGCUCAAUUGCUGGCUCAUGUAGAUCCCACAAAAGGUGUUGGUUCAUUUAGACAGCAGGACGGUGGCCACGGAAGUCGGAACCCGCUAAGGAGUGUGUAACAACUCACCUGCCGAAUGAACUAGCCCCGAAAAUGGAUGGCGCUAAAGCGCGCGACCUAUACCCGGCCGUCGGGGCAAGUGCCAGGCCCCGAUGAGUAGGAGGGCGCGGCGGUCGCCGCAAAACCUUGGGCGCGAGCCCGGGCGGAGCGGCCGUCGGUGCAGAUCUUGGUGGUAGUAGCAAAUACUCAAAUGAGAACUUUGAGGACUGAAGUGGGGAAAGGUUCCAUGUGAACAGCACUUGGACAUGGGUGAGUCGAUCCUAAGCCCUAGGGUAGUUCCGUAAAAAGUGCGCACUUGUGCGCCGUUGGGCGAAAGGGAAGCCGGUUAAUAUUCCGGCACCUGGAUGCGGUUUCUUCACGGCAACGUAACUGAAAGUGGAGACGGCGGCGGGGGCCCUGGGUAGAGUUCUCUUUUCUACUUAACGGUCUCUCACCCUGAAAACGGUUUGUCCGGAGCUAGGGUUUAACGGCCGGCAGAGCACUACACCUCUGUAGUGUCCGGUGCGCUCCCGACGCCCCUUGAAAAUCCACUGGAAGGAAUAAGAUUCGCGCCAGGUCGUACUCAUAACCGCAGCAGGUCUCCAAGGUGAACAGCCUCUAGUUGAUAGAACAAUGUAGAUAAGGGAAGUCGGCAAAAUGGAUCCGUAACUUCGGGAAAAGGAUUGGCUCUGAGGGCUGGGCACGGGGGUCCCAGUCCCGAACCCGUCGGCUGUCGGUGGACUGCUCGAGCUGCUCCCGCGGCGAGAGCGGGUCGCCGCG
rnacentral:rRNA from 11 species